rnacentral:misc_RNA from 1 species
GAUGAAGAACGUAGCGAAAUGCGAUAAGUAAUGUGAAUUGCAGAAUUCAGUGAAUCAUCGAAUCUUUGAACGCACAUUGCGCCCGCCAGUAUUCUGGCGGGCAUGCCUGUACGAGCGUCAUUUCAACCAUCAAGCCCCCGGCAUGUGUUGGGGACCUGCGGCUGCCGCAGGCCCUGAAAUGCAGUGGCGGGCUCGCUGUCACUCCGAGCGUAGUAGUUACAUCUCGCUCUGGGCGUGCUGCGGGUUCCGGCCGUUAAAAGCCUUAUUUACCCAAGGUUGACCUCGGAUCAGGUAGGAAGACCCGCUGAACUUAAGCAUAUCAAUAAGCGGAGGA